GUGACUUGCUUCGACAGUACAUAUACUAAAAUUGGAACGAUACAGAGAAGAUUGGCAUGACCCCUGCGCAAGGAUGACACGCAAAAUAGACUAUUUCUAGAAAAAUGU